rnacentral:misc_RNA from 1 species
GAAAUGCGAUAAGUAAUGUGAAUUGCAGAAUUCAGUGAAUCAUCGAAUCUUUGAACGCACAUUGCGCCCGCCAGUAUUCUGGCGGGGAUGCCUGUUCGAGCGUCAUUUCAACCAUCAAGCCCCGGGCUUGUGUUGGGGACCUGCGGCUGCCGCAGGCCCUGAAAACCAGUGGCGGGCUCGCUGUCACACCGAGCGUAGUAGAUUCUCAUCUCGCUCAGGGCGUGCUGCGGGUUCCGGCCGUAAAACAGCCUUAUUUUACCCAAGGUUGACCUCGGAUCAGGUAGGAAGACCCGCUGAACUUAAGC